AGGAUCCAGAAUAGAACUUAAGAAGCUGAAGGCCAAGUAGUUCUACAUAGCCAUGAAGAAGGCCAGAGACCUUCUUGAGAUGUUAUCUACAGAGCUGGUCUGGAUGGGAUGCCAGUCUAAACCUACACAUUAAUCUGAAGCCAAUGGAUUGAGGCAUCAAGAAUGCCAACAAGCAGGGCAAGCGCUGAAGUCAGAGCGUGUCAGGCCUUAUGAGAUUGGACCAGCUUCUAUAAGAAUAGGUUGUUACCAGUGAUCCUGGAACCUCCUGAAAAUCCUUCUUCUGGACAUACUCCAACCAUUGUGAUGCCAUCUACCAUGACGCACUCAUCAGAGCCAAACAAAAGCUGGUGCUGUGCUCUUGAAUCUCC